UUUAGUCUGCGGCCGUACCACCCUGAAUGCACCGGUCUUCUCUGAUCUCCGUAGCUGGGAGGGAUGGGGCCUGCUUAGUACUUGGAUGGGAAAACCUUUAGCAAGUCAGAAGUAUUCAUUAAAU
rnacentral:rRNA from 1 species